rnacentral:rRNA from 1 species
CCUACGGAGGGCAGCAGUGAGGAAUAUUGGUCAAUGGGCGGAAGCCUGAACCAGCCAAGUAGCGUGCAGGAUGACGGCCCUACGGGUUGUAAACUGCUUUUAUACGGGAAUAACGCGCCUUACGUGUAGGGCUUUGCAUGUACCGUAUGAAUAAGGACCGGCUAAUUCCGUGCCAGCAGCCGCGGUAAUACGGAAGGUCCGGGCGUUAUCCGGAUUUAUUGGGUUUAAAGGGAGCGUAGGCCGCAUGUCAAGCGUGCUGUGAAAUGUCCGGGCUCAACCCGGGCCUUGCAGCGCGAACUGGCGUGCUUGAGUCCGCGGAAAGCAGGCGGAAUUCGUCGUGUAGCGGUGAAAUGCUUAGAUAUGACGAAGAACCCCGAUUGCGAAGGCAGCUUGCUGCAGCGGAACUGACGCUGAUGCUCGAAAGCGCGGGUAUCGAACAGGAUUAGAGACCCUUGUAGUC